CUUUUAUAAAAAAAAAAAAAAAAUGUCAGACAUCGACUUUUGUAAAUAAAUUGUAAAAGAAAUAAAUGCUUUUCUGUGUCAUUAUUCUUUUUAGAAUAAACACUAUGGGUCAAUUGUUUAAACAAAUUCUAAACUCCAACCAUGGCUUAAAACUCUUUUCCAUAUUUAUUAUCUCAUUCAAAACAAGAUUUAGACUGCAGCCUAGAACUAAAACUCAUUCAAAAAACCAACCCUAUCUUACUUACAUGAAAGCUAGCUUGUUUUUUCUUCUCAGUCAUACCACUGAUAGUUGCAUCAAAGUGACCCCCCUCUGAUGAUAAACUAUAGGUAUUGGCAUCUGGCUUGGCACUGAAGUGUGUGAAAGUAUUAUGCAUCUGGACUACUAUCAAUUUACUAAUAGGAAGGAUAGGUUUCAUCCUGAAAGGAAUGAGCUUGUGUCUAAAUAUCAUGUUGGAUUUUUUCGAUAUGCUACAGUAUUACAAGAAGCUUGGCACAAUAAUAUUUCUAUCUAUGCCAAGCACAAUGCCGAUACCUAUAAUUCUUCAGGUCUUGCCUAAAUUGUUACAUUUAAUACUGAUGUAUAUUUUUAGGAAGUAUUUUAUCUCCAUAUUUGUAAAUUUAAGAGAAAUAGAGAAUAUGCUUAUA
rnacentral:lncRNA from 1 species